CUGUAAAACGACUUAUAUUAAAACAAUGGAGGGAGUAUUAAUUUACUAUUACUAGUGUGACCGUACAAACGGCAAGCCACAUAUGUUUCAAUAACGUAUGCUUCUUUGUUUGUUAGCCAUGCCGAAUGUACGAGCUAAUUUGAAUUUACCAGCUAUGUCAUGAAUUGUCCUACUCCUGCUGAUAGAGGUCGUGCUUCAUCAAUAACGACAUCAACAUGUCUAGCCCAUUGUAUGAGAACCUCCUCUCCCUCGACUCAAUACUCGAAAUUAAGUGUAUAAAAAUGAAUUCAGAUGGAAACUAGAAACAGAACAGGAAGAGUUGUUAUAGAAUGUUGCUGCGGAAAAGCGUGCAGCCUUCUACUUGAUAACCUUAUUGAAUAUAUGCUCUACCAGCUUCUUUGUAUGUUAUAACUUCUGAAAUCGAAGGGUUGAUGACUGUGAGCGAAACUGAUGCAAUAUCCCAUUGCUGGAGGGGAGUGCUCAUUGGCCGGGACUUGCUAACACAACACACAGGCUGGGCAGUUGGACUAGCCUGUGUGCAAAGGUCAACUUACCCCCAACUGGAGUCUCAAAGAGCUGCUUAGCGCCUUGGCUAUUAUGGCAGAUCUGGCUUGCUAGAAACAACACCAUUUUCAACGACAAAUGGCUUUCCCCUGAGGACAUAGUUACCAAAGCUGUUUCAGCUACACGAGAAUGGGAAGCCAGUCAGUUCAAGGAGCAGAAGAAACCACGGGUAACCUCAGCGACAGCGACCUUACCUGAACAUUGUGUGAUUGUACGAUCAGACGCAGCAUGGAGACAGGAUUGUCUAACAGCUGGACUCGGCUGGACAAUAACAGAUGACGAUCGAACUCGAUCCUUCUCAACAGCAACACCUUUUGUCGUCUCCCCGUUGGAUUGCGGAGGGACUCGCACUCCGUGAAGCAGUCUGGAGCUGUCAACGAUUAGGAUACGCAAACGUCUGCUGCGAGUCGGAUUCAACGCAACUAAUCCAGGCGGUGAACUCAGGAUCAACAGCAACCGAAAUCUACGGCAUCACAGCCGACAUCAUUUCGCUUGCAGGCCUUUUCGAAACUAUCUCUUUUCGCUGGAUAUCCAGAGUGAAAAAUAGUGAAGCCUAUGUUUUGGCAAAACAAUGUCUUGCAGAUGAGAUUGCAUUUAAUUGUAUCACCUAACUUUUCUGAUGAUUUUAAUGAAAGUUCUUGUGUUUCAAAAAAAAAAAAAAAAACUUCUGAAAUCGAAAUAUUUGGAUCUAAAUCCAUAUUCAGUCGCAGGCAGUGCCCAAACAAAGUAAAGCAAGGAUUUUACUUGAGUGUUCUCUUAAAA